rnacentral:rRNA from 1 species
AGACCUGAAAUCAGUCGAGGUUACCCGCUGAAUUUAAGCAUAUUAUUAAGCGGAGGAAAAGAAAAUAACUAUGAUUCCCCUAGUAACGGCGAGUGAAGCGGGAAUAGCUCAAAGUGAAAAUCGCGUGUCCGCAUAUUGGGCCCGCGAGUUGUAGCCUCGAGAGGCGUUACCAGUGGAGGGGCAGGUCCAAGUUUCUUGGAACAGAACUUCAGAGAGGGUGACAGUCCCGUCCUUUGUCCUGCUUGUUGUCUCCACGUACGGUGCGCUUUUAUUGAGUCGCGUUCAUUGGGAUUUGAGCGCAAAAUGUGUGAUAAGUUUCACAUAAAGCUAAAUACUGGCGCGAGACCGAUAGCGAACAAGUACUGUGAAGGAAAGAUGAAAAGGACUUUGGAAAGAGAGUUAGAAGUACCUGAAAUUGCUGGAAGGGAAGCGAUUGAAACUUUUGUAUCCCUUGG